UAUCGGAACGUGCCCAGUCGUGGGGGAGUAACGUAGAGAAAUUUACGCUAAUACCGCAUGAGAUCCACGGAUGAAAGCGGGGGACUUCGCAAGGAGCCUCGCGCGACUGGAGCGGCUGAUAUCAGAUUAGGUUGUUGGUGAGGUAAAAGCUCACCAAGCCGACGAUCUGUAGCUGGUUUGAGAGAACGACCAGCCACACUGGGACUGAGACACGGCCCAG
rnacentral:rRNA from 1 species